rnacentral:rRNA from 1 species
UACGUAGGGUGCAAGCGUUGUCCGGAAUUAUUGGGCGUAAAGAGCUCGUAGGCGGUCUGUCGCGUCUGCUGUGAAACUCAGGCUUAACCCUGAGCUUGCAGUGGGUACGGGCAGACUAGAGUGCGGUAGGGAGACUGGAAUUCCGUGGUGUAGCGGUGAAAUGCGCAGAUAUCAGGAGGAACACCGGUGGCGAGGGCGGGUCUCUGGGCCGUAACUGACGCUGGAGGAGCGAAA